rnacentral:rRNA from 1 species
GAUGAACGCUGGCGGCGUGCCUAAUACAUGCAAGUCGAGCGAAUGGAUUAAGAGCUUGCUCUUAUGAAGUUAGCGGCGGACGGGUGAGUAACACGUGGGUAACCUGCCCAUAAGACUGGGAUAACUCCGGGAAACCGGGGCUAAUACCGGAUAACAUUUUGAACCGCAUGGUUCGAAAUUGAAAGGCGGCUUCGGCUGUCACUUAUGGAUGGACCCGCGUCGCAUUAGCUAGUUGGUGAGGUAACGGCUCACCAAGGCAACGAUGCGUAGUCGACCUGGAAGGGUGAUCAGGCACACUGGAACUGAGACACGGACCAGACUCCUACGGGAGGCAGCAGUAGGGAAUCUUCCGCAAUGGACGAAAGUCUGACGGAGCAACGCCGCGUGAGUGAUGAAGGCUUUCGGGUCGUAAAACUCUGUUGUUAGGGAAGAACAAGUGCUAGUUGAAUAAGCUGGCACCUUGACGGUACCUAACCAGAAAGCCACGGCUAACUACGUGCCAGCCGCCGCCGUAA